rnacentral:rRNA from 1 species
UAGUCUGCAACUCGACUACACGAAGCUGGAAUCGCUAGUAAUCGCGAAUCAGAAUGUCGCGGUGAAUACGUUCCCGGGUCUUGUACACACCGCCCGUCACACCAUGGGAGUUGGGAAUGCCCGAAGUCAGUGACCCAACCGCAAGGAGGGAGCUGCCGAAGGCAGGCUCGAUAACUGGGGUGAAGUCGUAACAAGGUAUC